GGGCCCGCACAAGCGGUGGAGCAUGUGGUUUAAUUCGAUGAUACGCGAGGAACCUUACCAGGGCUUAAAUGUAUUGUGACAGGGGUGGAAACACCUUUUUCUUCGGACACAUUACAAGGUGCUGCAUGGUUGUCGUCAGCUCGUGCCGUGAGGUGUCAGGUUAAGUCCUAUAACGAGCGCAACCCCUGUUGUUAGUUGCCAGCGAUUCAAGUCGGGAACUCUAACAAGACUGCCGGUGCAAACCGUGAGGAAGGUGGGGAUGACGUCAAAUCAUCACGGCCCUUACGUGUUGGGCUACACACGUGCUACAAUGGUAUCUACAACAGGAAGCAAGACUGCGAAGUUAAGCAAAUCCCUAAAAGAUACCUCAGUUCGGAUUGCACUCUGCAACUCGAGUGCAUG
rnacentral:rRNA from 1 species